UUAAGUUAAUAAGGGCGCACGGUGGAUGCCUUGGCACUAGAAGCCGAUGAAGGACGUGACUAACGACGAAAUGCUUUGGGGAGUUGUAAGUAAACAUUGAUCCAGAGAUGUCCGAAUGGGGGAACCCGGCAUGUGAUGCAUGUCACUCAUUACUGUUAAGGUAAUGAAGAGGAAGACGCAGUGAACUGAAACAUCUAAGUAGCUGCAGGAAGAGAAAGCAAACGCGAUUGCCUUAGUAGCGGCGAGCGAACUGGCAAGAGGGCAAACCGAUGUGUUUACACAUCGGGGUUGUAGGACUGCGUUGUGGGAAGUCAAGAUUAUAGAAGAAUUACCUGGGAAGGUAAGCCAAAGAGAGUAACAGCCUCGUAUUCGAAAUAGUCUUAAACCCUAGCAGUAUCCUGAGUACGGCGAGACACGAGAAAUCUCGUCGGAAUCUGGGAGGACCAUCUCCCAACCCUAAAUACUCUCUAGUGACCGAUAGUGAACCAGUACCGUGAGGGAAAGGUGAAAAGCACCCCGGGAGGGGAGUGAAAUAGAACCUGAAACCGUGUGCCUACAACAAGUUCGAGCCCGUUAAUGGGUGAGAGCGUGCCUUUUGUAGAAUGAACCGGCGAGUUACGAUAUGAUGCGAGGUUAAGUUGAAGAGACGGAGCCGUAGGGAAACCGAGUCUUAAUAGGGCGGAUUAGUAUCAUGUCGUAGACCCGAAACCAUGUGACCUACCCAUGAGCAGGGUGAAGGUGAGGUAAAACUCACUGGAGGCCCGAACCAGGGCACGUUGAAAAGUGCUUGGAUGACUUGUGGGUAGCGGAGAAAUUCCAAACGAACUUGGAGAUAGCUGGUUCUCUCCGAAAUAGCUUUAGGGCUAGCGUCGAUGUUAAGUCUCUUGGAGGUAGAGCACUGUUUGAUUGAGGGGUCCAUCCCGGAUUACCAAUAUCAGAUAAACUCCGAAUGCCAAUGAGAUAUAAUCGGCAGUCAGACUGCGAGUGCUAAGAUCCGUAGUCGAAAGGGAAACAGCCCAGACCACCAGCUAAGGUCCCAAAAUAUAUGUUAAGUGGAAAAGGAUGUGGGGUUGCACAGACAACUAGGAUGUUAGCUUAGAAGCAGCUAUUCAUUCAAAGAGUGCGUAAUAGCUCACUAGUCGAGUGACCCUGCGCCGAAAAUGUACCGGGGCUAAAACAUAUUACCGAAGCUGUGGAUACCUUUUAGGUAUGGUAGGAGAGCGUUCUAUGUGUGAUGAAGGUGUACCGUGAGGAGCGCUGGAACGCAUAGAAGUGAGAAUGCCGGUAUGAGUAGCGAAAGACAGGUGAGAAUCCUGUCCACCGUAAGACUAAGGUUUCCAGGGGAAGGCUCGUCCUCCCUGGGUUAGUCGGGACCUAAGGAGAGACCGAAAGGUGUAUCCGAUGGACAACAGGUUGAUAUUCCUGUACUAGAGUAUAUAGUGAUGGAGGGACGCAGUAGGCUAACUAAAGCGUGCGAUUGGAAGUGCACGUCUAAGCAGUGAGGUGUGAUGUGAGUCAAAUGCUUACGUCUAUAACAUUGAGCUGUGAUGGGGAGCGAAGUUAAGUAGCGAAGUUAGUGAUGUCACACUGCCAAGAAAAGCUUCUAGCGUUAAUUAUACUCUACCCGUACCGCAAACCGACACAGGUAGUCGAGGCGAGUAGCCUCAGGUGAGCGAGAGAACUCUCGUUAAGGAACUCGGCAAAAUGGCCCCGUAACUUCGGGA
rnacentral:rRNA from 1 species